rnacentral:rRNA from 1 species
AGAGUUUGAUCCUGGCUCAGAACGAACGCUGGCGGCGUGCCUAACACAUGCAAGUCGAACGUGAAAGUCCUUCGGGAUGAGUAAAGUGGCGCACGGGUGAGUAAUGCGUAGAUAAUCUGCCUGGUGAUCUGGGAUAACAUCUCGAAAGGGGUGCUAAUACCGGAUAAGCCCACGGGGUCUUCGGACUUUGCGGGAAAAGGGGGGGACCUUCGGGCCUUCUGUCACCAGAUGAGUCUACGUACCAUUAGCUAGUUGGUGGGGUAAGAGCCCACCAAGGCUACGAUGGUUAGCUGGUCUGAGAGGAUGAUCAGCCACACUGGAACUGAGACACGGUCCAGACUCCUACGGGAGGCAGCAGUGGGGAAUUUUGCGCAAUGGGGGAAACCCUGACGCAGCAACGCCGCGUGAGUGAUGAAGGCCUUCGGGUCGUAAAGCUC